rnacentral:rRNA from 1 species
GAUGAACGCUGGCGGCGUGCUUAACACAUGCAAGUCGAACGGAAAGGCUCCUGCUUGCCGGGGUACUCGAGUGGCGAACGGGUGAGUAACACGUGGGUGAUCUGCCCUGCACUUCGGGAUAAGCCUGGGAAACUGGGUCUAAUACCGGAUAGGACGAUGGUUUGGAUGCCAUUGUGGAAAGUUUUUCGGUGUGGGAUGAGCUCGCGGCCCAUCAGCUUGUUGGUGGGGUAAUGGCCUACCAAGGCGUCGACGGGUAGCCGGCCUGAGAGGGUGUACGGCCACAUUGGGACUGAGAUACGGCCCAGACUCCUACGGGAGGCAGCAGUGGGGAAUAUUGCACAAUGGGCGCAAGCCUGAUGCAGCGACGCCGCGUGGGGGAUGACGGCCUUCGGGUUGUAAACUCCUUUCGCUAGGGACGAAGCGCAAGUGACGGUACCUGGAGAAGAAGCACCGGCUAACUACGUG